UCCCUGGUGGCUCAGAGGUUAAAGCAUCUGCCUGCAAUGCGGGAGACCUGGGUUCGAUCCCUGGGUCGGGAC
rnacentral:tRNA from 1 species